AUGAAGCUGCCCUUCCAGGAGGUAAUAAAGAGAUCGAUACUGGUUACACUGGAAAUCUCAGGAACAAGGGGGCCAGUGACACCUUUGCCACUUCCACUAGCAGGAACACCCUGUGCAACCUUCCCCAGCCCGUGUCACCCUGCCUCCCUCCUGCCACAGCUCUGCACCUGCAGACGGCUGGUGUGCCCAGGACCAGGCCAGCCGGCUUCUCUUCGCAGAGAAGACAUUGGUCAGCGUCAAGAGAUGAUCAACUCAGCCCCAGCAUUCUCUGAUCCCAAAGAGCAGACAGGCAUUCCUGCAGUGCGGCUGAUAUUGCUGGGGGUACACAGAGGGCACCUCGGAAAACGACUCAAGGACACAUUCAGAGUAACAGUAAAGAGACAGUGGAGGCAGGUGGAUAAAUCCCGGAAGACUUCCCGGAAGAGGCAAAUUUCAAUAAGAAAGCAGAGUUUGCGGGUGAUGCAGGAGCUUUAAAGGGAGAGAAAGGUGAAGGAAGCAUUGCAAAAUAAUGGGGUGCUCUCUCCUCUCCCAUGCUCAAAAAAUGGGAUGCUUUCGUGAGGGGGACCCCUAAUUAGCUGAGACAGCUCACAGUCCUCCACCAUGAACAAGAAAUCAAAAAGUCAAACACCAGCUCAUUAAAUGCUCAGGGCUGGCUAGCUAUUAAAAGAAUUUCCAUUUCAGAACAGGAUGCCUACCAGGGAAUGCCAGACCUAAAUAUAAGCCAGCCCCCUCCCUGCCAGGAGACUUUACGGUGUUAGGCAGGCAGGAGGGAGGACUGCGUGGAGAUGUGUCAUUACUUUUAACAUCCAAAUAUAACUCGCCCCAGGGGGUCUGGGACUGAGGCUGCUCUUCCCAGCUGCCUCCUGCCAGAGCCAGGGGGGGCACUGGAGAGCGGGGAGCAGGCCCCACAGAGGGCAGAGAUUUGGGUUGUAAGCAGACCACAGUCGCCCAUCCCCUUCCCCAAAUGCCCGCAGUCUGGAGGGAGGGCCACUGAGGUCUACUGGCUGCUGGGGUGGGGCGGGGGUGGAGGGUAGUUCAGGGGCUCUCUGGGCAGAGGAGGGGGUGCUUUGGAUAUUCAUGAUUACUUUUCCUGCAUGCUUCUCUGGAAUGCGGAGAGGAAAGAAAUUAGGAAGAAAGGACCGUCGAGCUGCCUGCAGAUGUACGUAUAGAUGUACACGUAUCUGCACUUCUUCCCUUCAUGCUUCCGGUUGGCAGUUCUGCACUCACAUGGAUGCUUAUUCAGCAGAUGUGUGUCUGCCCAGAGAUUGCAAGCUCUUUGAGGACAGGGCUGUGUGUCUGUUCACUUUGCAACCCUCCCCGUCUAGCUCAGUGCCCAGCAUAGAGGCCCUGGGGAGGGAAUUAACAGCUGAAAUGCCAACGAUGCCAAUGCCCCGCAUGUGGGCAGAGGGCUUGACACGUCUGGUUCUCAGCUCCGCGCUCAGUGGAAUCACCUGGAUGCCUUCAUGCUGAUUGAUUGGUCUCAGGUACGGGUGCAGCGCGGGCAUCCGGGGUUUUAAAAGCUCCCUAAGUGAUUCUAAUGUGAAGCUGCAUUAUCUAAUAAAAAAGGUUUUAUUCUCUCA
ensembl:lncRNA